UGCCUACGGGGGGCUGCAGUGGGGAAUAUUGCGCAAUGGGGGAAACCCUGACGCAGCGACGCCGCGUGAGCGAUGAAGGCCUUAGGGUUGUAAAGCUCUGUUUUAAGGGACGAAUGUUACGGGGAGUAAUAUGCCCUGUAAAUGACGGUACCUUAAGAGGAAGCCCCGGCUAACUACGUGCCAGCAGCCGCGGUAAGACGUAGGGGGCGAGCGUUGUCCGGAAUUACUGGGCGUAAAGAGCACGUAGGCGGGAACUUAAGUCAGGUGUGAAAGACCGGGGCUCAACCUCGGGGUGGCACUUGAAACUGGGUUUCUUGAGGGCAGGAGAGGAAAGUAGAAUUCCUGGUGUAGCGGUGAAAUGCGUAGAAAUCAGGAGGAAUACCAGUGGCGAAGGCGACUUUCUGGACUGACCCUGACGCUGAGGUGCGAAAGCGUGGGUAGCAAACAGGAUUAGAUACCCGGGUAGUCCC
rnacentral:rRNA from 1 species